AGCCAGUGCAUGUUAACUGGGGUGGCGCUGCCCUCCCAGCUAGCCCACUAGUGACCCUGGGCAAGUUGCUCCACCGUUGGGCCUCAGUCACACAUCCAUAUAACACAGGUAGCAAUACUUACUCUAGUUGGUUGUGAGGAACAACU